AUGCUUUUCCUAAAGAUUAAGCCAUGCAUGCCUAAGACUAUGAGGAAGCAAUUCUCUCUGAAUCUGCGAACGGCUCCGCAAACCAGUUGUAAACUAGAGCAAGCAAGUCUGGCGGGCUUCGGCCUCCAGACGAUAUGGAUAACCCUGGUAAUUCUGAGGCUAAUACAUGACCGCAAAACCGGGCAGCCCAGCAAUGGAUGCUCGGGGAUGUGCGAUAUGGCUUGACAAUAACCGGGAAAGGGCG
rnacentral:rRNA from 1 species